rnacentral:rRNA from 1 species
UUGAAGAGUUUGAUCAUGGCUCAGAUUGAACGCUGGCGGCAGGCCUAACACAUGCAAGUCGAGCGGUAGCACAGAGAGCUUGCUCUCGGGUGACGAGCGGCGGACGGGUGAGUAAUGUCUGGGAAACUGCCUGAUGGAGGGGGAUAACUACUGGAAACGGUAGCUAAUACCGCAUAACGUCGCAAGACCAAAGUGGGGGACCUUCGGGCCUCAUGCCAUCAGAUGUGCCCAGAUGGGAUUAGCUAGUAGGUGGGGUAACGGCUCACCUAGGCGACGAUCCCUAGCUGGUCUGAGAGGAUGACCAGCCACACUGGAACUGAGACACGGUCCAGACUCCUACGGGAGGCAGCAGUGGGGAAUAUUGCACAAUGGGCGCAAGCCUGAUGCAGCCAUGCCGCGUGUGUGAAGAAGGCCUUCGGGUUGUAAAGCACUUUCAGCGGGGAGGAAGGCGGUGAGGUUAAUAACCUCAUCGAUUGACGUUACCCGCAGAAGAAGCACCGGCUAACUCCGUGCCAGCAGCCGCGGUAAUACGGAGGGUGCAAGCGUUAAUCGGAAUUACUGGGCGUAAAGCGCACGCAGGCGGUCUGUCAAGUCGGAUGUGAAAUCCCCGGGCUCAACCUGGGAACUGCAUUCGAAACUGGCAGGCUAGAGUCUUGUAGAGGGGGGUAGAAUUCCAGGUGUAGCGGUGAAAUGCGUAGAGAUCUGGAGGAAUACCGGUGGCGAAGGCGGCCCCCUGGACAAAGACUGACGCUCAGGUGCGAAAGCGUGGGGAGCAAACAGGAUUAGAUACCCUGGUAGUCCACGCCGUAAACGAUGUCGAUUUGGAGGUUGUGCCCUUGAGGCGUGGCUUCCGGAGCUAACGCGUUAAAUCGACCGCACGGGAGUACGGCCGCAAGGUUAAAACUCAAAUGAAUUGACGGGGGCCCGCACAAGCGGUGGAGCAUGUGGUUUAAUUCGAUGCAACGCGAAGAACCUUACCUGGUCUUGACAUCCACAGAACUUUCCAGAGAUGGAUUGGUGCCUUCGGGAACUGUGAGACAGGUGCUGCAUGGCUGUCGUCAGCUCGUGUUGUGAAAUGUUGGGUUAAGUCCCGCAACGAGCGCAACCCUUAUCCUUUGUUGCCAGCGGUUAGGCCGGGAACUCAAAGGAGACUGCCAGUGAUAAACUGGAGGAAGGUGGGGAUGACGUCAAGUCAUCAUGGCCCUUACGACCAGGGCUACACACGUGCUACAAUGGCAUAUACAAAGAGAAGCGACCUCGCGAGAGCAAGCGGACCUCAUAAAGUAUGUCGUAGUCCGGAUUGGAGUCUGCAACUCGACUCCAUGAAGUCGGAAUCGCUAGUAAUCGUAGAUCAGAAUGCUACGGUGAAUACGUUCCCGGGCCUUGUACACACCGCCCGUCACACCAUGGGAGUGGGUUGCAAAAGAAGUAGGUAGCUUAACCUUCGGGAGGGCGCUUACCACUUUGUGAUUCAUGACUGGGGUGAAGUCGUAACAAGGUAACCGUAGGGGAACCUGCGGUUGGAUCACCUCCUU